rnacentral:piRNA from 1 species
UUGAAGCAAUGCUGAGCAGUCACCAGU